ensembl:lncRNA
AAAAAAAAAAAAAAAAAAAAAAGAAAAGAAAAGAAAAAAGAAAGAAGAAAAGGGGAAGAUUUACCCCUUGUUUUCUUGUCUCACUUUGUGAAAUGUAUAUUUUCAAGGCUAUAAAAACUUGUAAAGUUUGAGAAUUUUAAUCAUUGAAAAUCUAUGAACACAAUGGGUUUUUCUUUCCAGUACUGCUUCCUUUUUAUUCUUUUCACAAAUAUAUUUCAGUCAUCAAGUCUAGGUUUUCUCAAAAGGUAUGCUUCUUUUCCAAAGGACUUCCCAUGUUCUAGGAUUCAAGGAAGGCCUCUGAUACCCCUUAUGUCUUCAGUAAAGCUGACUUUGGCCCCAGGGAAACACUGAAGGCAAAACCAACACUUGAAAAUUCUUUAGUCUGAGGGUUUUAAUUUAUCCUUGUAUUUCUUCUAUUUGGGGAAGUAAUUUCUGAUUGAACUCUGCUUUUCUGAUGCAAAAACUUUCUGAUCAUAAUUUUUUUCUUCAAAGUAUUUUUAUAUUUUAUGAGCAUGAACUCAAGAAUUCACAGUGGUCUUUUUCUUAAGGAAAAAGAUGACUUUCUUAAGGAACAUAGAUGAUUUGGCUUCCCAAAAGUACAUGUAAAGCCCAUGAACUGUUUUACUCUAUUUCUAAUUUUGUGCUGAGAACAAAACUUUAUUGAUUUUAAUUUCAGCCUUUUCAAAUUUACACAAUUCCCAUUUGCAUACAUUAGCAUCAAUGUUAUAUUGGGUGUGAUACAUAAAAAAUUCAUUCUUUCUAAUUACUAGAAUGCUCAGAUGCUUAGUUUUCUCCCUUGUUAGUGUUGUGUUUUUCUAAUCUUCUAGGAAUCAUCCCAAUAUAAUUAUUACGAACAAGUAAGAAGUCAAAUUAAUGAACACAAAAUUUAAAAACUUACUUGUUCAUAAUUGAACUGCUAAAACAGAAGCUAUCUACCAGAAAUUUCUGGGUUUUCCUUGUUCUGCUCUUUUCAUAAUUAUUGACAUACAUGCAUCAUAGAACAAAUUGAAAUUCAGGAUUGGUGGGAAAGAAUUUCAGCUAUUUCUAGCAAUUCCCUUGCUCCCCUAAUGGACUAGUAUGGGAAGUUUUAAAAAAAUGUGUAGCAGCCUUUAUUUUGCUAACACUUGUUCUAAUUCUAGCUUCACAAAAUAGAUGUUUUCUAUCCUCAUUGGUAAAGCAGGGAAUCUGAGUUCCAGCUCUGUCCAUUGUUGUUGGUCUGCUACCCUGAAAACAGUCUGUAGCUUUUUCUCAACUAGAGAAAACAAUGAUUUUUGUGGCUCCAUGUUUUUAAAAAAAGAUUUCUUUUCCUUUGGUGAUAUAUUUCAACUCACAUUUUAUGUUUUCUGAAUGAAUAACCUUGUAGGUAAAUGCUAUAGUUGAAUAGACAGCACUUUUAGUUGAAGAAAAUAUUUUGUACCUUCUUUUAAAAGAAAAGUUAAAAAUUGCUUCCUGAGCUGGGCCUGUUGGCACAUGCCUGUAAUCUCAGGUACUCAGGAUACUGAGGCAGGAGAACUACAAGUUCAACUUCAGCAUGGGAAACUUUUUAAAUUUAAAAAAAAUUUUAACGUUUAUUAGCACAUGAUUGCAGUACAUAAUGAUUACAUUUAUUGUGGGGAGUUGGUACAUGUACAUAAUACAUCUUAAUUCCUUUUUGUUUCUUUCUUUUUUUUUUUUUUUGGUACCAGGGAUCAAACUCGGGUCCUUGCGCUUGUGCACCAGGCAGUGAAACCACUGAGCUAAAUCCCCCGCCCCUUAAUUUCUUUUUCAUCCCCUUCGCCUCCCCUCCCUAACUCCUCCCUCAGGGCUGGGGAUAUAGCUCAGUGCUGGGGUGCUUGCCUAGCAGGUGUGAGGCCCUGGGUUUGAUUUAAAAUAAAAAGUUGCUUUCUGAAUGAAAACUCACCCACAAACUCACUUUUUAUACUUUUGAUUUUUCAAAUCUUGUUCUCUUUAAAAAAAAUAAUUAAUACUAAAGUAUAUAUAUAUUAACAUGAAUUCUGCUUUGUAUUCAGAGCUUGGCUAUGUAUGCUCACUACAUGUAUGUGUGCCUAUGUGUGUGAAUGUGUUUAUGUUUCUCAUACAAAUUGAUUUAAUAGGUAUCUUAAGAGAAAAAUGCAUUUGAUUACCUCACUCAUAUUUCCUGUAUGUAAUUUAGCACAUCGAAUAGUUUUCUCUCCUGUGGUUUAAAAUCGUUUAGGUUGUAUUUCCUACAUGUUUACCUAACCCAGUUAUUGCCAAGAACGGUGUAUUGACAUAAGUAUGUGUCUGCUUUUAGUUCUGCUUCAGAUCAUAACUGUGUAAUAAAUAUUAAGUCAUAAUCUGUUAUCCUAAAAUUCAUCAGCCAAAUGUUAAAUGUCUGCCCUGUAGUCUCUGAUCACUGUCACAUAUAUAAUUGCUUUUUUCAUUUUGAUACGGAGAGCUUUACAGUAGAAACACCAGUAAACAACUUUUAUACUGUUAAAAGGCUUUUCUCCCUUCCCGAAUGUUUUAAUUGUACCAUAGAAUUUUGCCCACUUAAGAAGUGGACUUUGUUGCCAAUUUGAAGUUGAUUAUUGUAGGUGUAUCCUUCACUGUGUCUAACGUGUAGUAUGAGUACGAUUUAAAUAGAAUGUUCAGUUUUUAAUAUUAGCCAUAGCACUGGUUAGUAUCUCAAUACUUUCAUGAAAGGUUUCCUGUAUUCUAAUCUACUUUAAGAAAUUUUGUGGUCUUUUUUCUAUUGUGUCUUAUAGUUCAAGUUUGUGGAUUUUGACAAGCAACAGUUUUUAAAGAUGCAAUAAACUUCCAACUAAUAUUUAUCUAUCUUUCAUGGACCCACAAACGCAUCUUUAAAUCAUAAUGGUUGUCUUUGUUGUGCUGCAUUUAUAUCCUGUACCGGACUACUGGCUAAGGAGACCCAACUGGAAGGAGAGAUUGACCCAGAUGAAAUCCAAAGUAAUGAGCUUUUACUGUGAAUGCACAUGGAAAAAAAUUAAGGCCUCUUGGAACAAAGAAACAACAACAGAACCGGAAGUCCCAUCAAAACAGCCACAGACACAUGUCUGGGCUGAGUGACAGUCACGGUGCCAUUCGAGAACUAGAUUCCUGUUCCUCAAGAUCCAAUCCUAUCUGUAGGGAGCCAUCAUGUCACUCAUUAUUAUUCCUCAGUUACAAGUUUGGUGUCUUCCAGAAAGC